AUACGGAGGGUGCGAGCGUUAAUCGGAAUUACUGGGCGUAAAGCGUACGUAGGCGGUUUGCUAAGUCAGAUGUGAAAGCCCCGGGCUUAACCUGGGAACUGCAUUUGAUACUGGCAGACUAGAGUAUGAUGGAGGGGGGUAGAAUUCCUGGUGUAGCGGUGAAAUGCGUAGAUAUCAGGAGGAAUACCAGUGGCGAAGGCGGCCCCCUGGAUCAAUACUGACGCUGAGGUACGAAAGCGUGGGGAGCGAACAGGAGUAGAAACCCUAGUAGUCC
rnacentral:rRNA from 1 species